CUUUAAGACCAUGGGAGAAGAAACAAAGCCACAAGAGACACCAUUGUUGCAUACGCAGGCUGCAGAAACUGCCCUCAAAAGAACUGGCACGAUAUGGACGGCAGCGGCACAUGUAAUAACAGGCGUCAUAGGUUCAGGAGUCCUAUCAUUAGCGUGGAGUAUGGCUCAGUUAGGGUGGAUUGCAGGUCCAUUAACCAUGCUGUGUUUUGCUUUCUUCACCCUUCUUUCUACUUACCUUCUCUGCGAUUGUUAUCGGUUUCCUGAUCCUGAAUAUGGUCCUCAAAGAAAUCCAUCUUACCUUGAAGCUGUUGAUGCCACUUUAGGAAAAAAGGAAGCUUGGAUAAGUGGAAUCUUUGUAGAAAUAAGCUUAUAUGGGGUAGGAAUUGCCUAUACCAUUACUUCUGCUAUAAGCUUGAGGGCAAUUCAAAAAUCAAACUGUUACCACAAAGAAGGGCAUGAGGCCAAGUGUGAAUAUGCAGAUACUUUAUAUAUGCUAAUAUUUGGAGGUGUUCAAAUCAUUUUGUCUCAAAUACCAGAUUUCCAUAACAUACAAUGGCUAUCAAUCCUAGCUGCAGUCAUGUCUUUGGCAUACUCCAUUAUUGGAUUUGCACUUGGUAUUGCACAAGUUAUAGAAAAUGGAUAUGUGAUGGGUAGCAUUACAGGAGUCUCAGCUUCUAGUGCAAUAGCUAAAGUAUGGAAUAUAUCUCAAGCACUUGGAGAUAUAGCAUUUGCAUAUCCAUAUUCCCUAAUUCUUCUGGAAAUACAGGAUACGUUAAAAUCUCCUCCACCAGAGAGUGAGAGCAUGAAGAAGGCAUCAACGAUAGCACUCAUUAUGACUACAUUUUUCUAUAUCUGCUGUGGUGGUUUCGGAUAUGCAGCUUUUGGAGAAAAUACACCUGGGAAUCUUUUGACAGGAUUUGGAUUUUAUGAACCAUACUGGCUCAUUGACUUUGCUAAUGCUUGCAUUGUGCUUCAUCUAGUUGGAGGCUAUCAGGUUUACAGUCAACCAGUAUUUGCAACUAUUGAGAAAUGGUUUGCAGAGAAGUAUCCCAACAGUGGAUUUAUAAACCAUAGUUUCAGCAUCAAACUCCCAUUUUUGCGAGCUUUUGGAUUAAACCCCUUCAGGGUGUGUUUCCGAACGAUAUAUGUAAUCUCAACAACAGCGAUUUCAAUGAUCUUUCCUUACUUCAACCAAGUGAUUGGAUUGUUAGGAGCCUUAAACUUCUGGCCCUUAACAAUUUAUUUUCCUGUGGAGAUGUACUUGAGGCAAAGACGUGUUGAAGCUUGGACAAUCAAGUGGAUAAUGCUUCGAGCAUUUAGCUUUGUGCUACUUUUUCUGUCAUUAUUUGCUUUGAUCGGAUCGGUUGAAGGGCUUAUAAGUGCAAAGUUAAGCUAAGGAUAGGAAAUUUCAUAGAUGAAUAUUUAUCAAAGUAUACGUUAGCAUAGAUCACAUUGUAAAAGAAGGUGUAGCCGCAUCUCUAGUUUUUAGUGGAGAAGCGUUACUUAUUUUCAUAGCAUAUUUACGAAAAGUUG
rnacentral:misc_RNA from 1 species